UACGGAGGGGGCUAGCGUUGUUCGGAAUUACUGGGCGUAAAGCGCACGUAGGCGGACCAGCAAGUUAGGGGUGAAAUCCCGGGGCUCAACCCCGGAACUGCCUUUAAAACUGUUGGUCUGGAGGUCGAGAGAGGUGAGUGGAAUUCCGAGUGUAGAGGUGAAAUUCGUAGAUAUUCGGAGGAACACCAGUGGCGAAGGCGGCUCACUGGCUCGAUACUGACGCUGAGGUGCGAAAGCGUGAGGAGCAAACAGG
rnacentral:rRNA from 1 species